AACAUUUUAUUGUCCAGAAUAAUGUGAUAUUUGUCGUUACAUGUGAAACACUCAUCUAUCGGAUCUAUUGAUCUUUAACUUUGGUAAAAUUGUAAAAACCAAGUGUUUUCUUGUUAAUUAAUCUUAAUAUUAUCAUAUAUUAACCAUUGCAUGGAUGAAUCUUGGACAGUAGGUCAGCAACCAGACAUAACUAGUGACUAUCACUUAACGUUAAUCAUAUUAUCAUUAUAGUCCAAUGGUCGAGUAAAGUUUUUUUAUUUAAUUGUCUGCUCCAUCUUUUAGACAUGACAAGUCAAUAAUAUUUUGAUGUAGAUUUACUAUUACAAGUGUUAUGUUCACCUGACACUUGAAAUAUAACCUUGAAGUGAACUUGAGCUUGAGCAUAAACGGCCCUUAAAAAUCAUGUGAUAUUGCAGCAAAAGAAACAAUUUAGUACAUGUAUGCCAACUUUUGUAUUUAAAAUAAUACCAAUAUUGAGGGG
rnacentral:lncRNA from 1 species